UACGAAGGGGGCUAGCGUUGCUCGGAAUGACUGGGCGUAAAGGGCGCGUAGGCGGAUGGCAUAGUCAGAUGUGAAAUUCCCGGGCUUAACCUGGGAACUGCGUCGGAUACUGGAUGGCUUGAAUCCGGGAGAGGGAUGCAGAAUUCCAGGUGUAGCGGUGAAAUGCGUAGAUAUCUGGAGGAAUACCGGUGGCGAAGGCGGCAUCCUGGACCGGCAUUGACGCUGAAGCGCGAAAGCUAGGGGAGCAAACGGG
rnacentral:rRNA from 1 species